UACGAAGGGGGCUAGCGUUGUUCGGAAUUACUGGGCGUAAAGCGCGCGCAGGCGGUCCUUCAAGUCAGAGGUGAAAGCCCAGAGCUCAACUCUGGAACGGCCUUUGAGACUAGAGGACUUGGGUACGGGAGAGGUGAGUGGAAUUCCGAGUGUAGAGGUGAAAUUCGUAGAUAUUCGGAAGAGCAUCAGUGGCGAAAGCGGCUUCCUGGACCAGUACCGACGUUCAGGCACGAAAGCGUGGGGAGCAAACAGG
rnacentral:rRNA from 1 species